rnacentral:rRNA from 1 species
GACGAACGCUGGCGGCGUGCUUAACACAUGCAAGUCGAACGGUGAAGCGCCUUCCUUUUUGGUGGGUGUGGAUGAGUGGCGAACGGGUGAGUAACACGUGAGUAACCUGCCCCCUUCUUCUGGAUAACCGCAUGAAAGUGUGGCUAAUACGGGAUAUUCUGGGUCUGUCGCAUGAUGGGUCUGUGAAAGAUAUUGUUUCGGUGGGGGAUGGGCUCGCGGCCUAUCAGCUUGUUGGUGGGGUGAUGGCCUACCAAGGCGGUGACGGGUAGCCGGCCUGAGAGGGUGGACGGUCACACUGGGACUGAGACACGGCCCAGACUCCUACGGGAGGCAGCAGUGGGGAAUAGUGCACAAUGGGCGCAAGCCUGAUGCAGCGACGCCGCGUGAGGGAUGGAGGCCUUCGGGUUGUGAACCUCUUUCGCCAGUGAAGCAGGCCUGCCUCGUUUGUGGGUGGGUUGACGGUAGCUGGAGAAGAAGCGCCGGCUAACUACGUG